GGCGGGGUUCCGGAGCCACGCAGAGGCUGCUGGGAAAGAGAGUCUGGCCAUUGGAAGUUGAAGCUAAGCUUCCCAAAGGGUUUUGGGUUUAUGUUUAUGUAGACAGAGCCCGGGAUGGGAUCCGGGGUUUUGGCCGUAGGCUUUAUGUAGUCCAGGGCUGAACGAAGUCUUAAUAUCAUCAAGCCGCAACAGAACUAUUCUCAGGCCUUGUCUAAUUGGACUCCCUCUAGGAACUCUGAUGAUGGUAGUAUCCAGAGGAUAUUCAUGUAUCGUAUUUGAAUAGUUUCUCCAUAGACCUGGUCUUCUCAUCAGGAAUGCCUGGAAGUCCAUUAUUUCAUUUAAGGUUCAUUUUUUCACCCUGUAACAUUAUACUCAGGUUUUCUGGCAGUAUUUGACAGAAAGUACAAUGAUCCAGCUGCUGUCUGAUCCAAGGAGAUUAACUUUCUGCUAGGAAGAGAGGUAAUUGUACUCCUCUGUUUCAUUCUCCUUGCCUCCCAAAAGUCCAAGGUAGAGAGAGGCUGUCUCUUUGCCGUUCUUCAGAUGUUUUAAAACCAGGGUCUAUGGGAAAAUGUGGAUCCAGAAGAUAAGGACUGCAUCUAGGACCAGGAAUCGAAUCACUGAAGAUACAUUUAGUAGACCUUCAGAUAAUUUCAGUACCAGGAGAGAACAAGAUCUUGACAGACUUUGAACCCACUCCAGGAACAUGUCUGACCAUGGUUGAGAAGGUUGUGUUGCUUCCAGUGCCUGGGGAAUUCCUGACCAUCAUGCUCCUUGUGUUGGGUGGGAAUACAAUAUCCAAAGAACAGUGAGAAAGUAGUGAACAUGGUAGGUCAGAGAUGAGAGGACAGAGAUGAGAAUAGUCAAAAAUGGAGAGCUGAGGAGAAGAAGGUGGCUGUGACCUGGUCUGAGUUAGCCCUGGUUUCAUUGUUUUUAUGCCAUGCCACUCUCUGAUACUAAUGUCUUCUAUCCUAAGACCACUUUUAAAAAGUUAGAAUAUGAGUCUUUACUUAUGAAGUGAGUGCGGAAGAGGAGGGUCAGAUGUUGUCCUUCACUGAAGGAGCUGUGCAAAUGGAGACGCAGUGGAGCAGGGUGGAUAGAUACCCAGCCAGAGUCAGAAAACAAGGGUACGAGGCUUGUGUCUGAUCUACUUACUGACUGUAUAACCCUGAGCAAGGCCUUUAUCCUCCUAUGGCCCCCAGGCUACUCUUCCAGGCUCUAAGUUGCAGAACAGGUGCCAGUUUGUGUUGGUGGAGGGAGUUUCCUCACUGCCAUCUUGUAACAAUGAAAUCACAGGCCCAACCGAAAACAAAAUGUGGUGCAGAUAAAUGAAUCACAGAGCUAUGGACUGUUUUCUUCCAGAUCACAUGUGGACAUAACUGUUGAUUCAGGUCAUGUUUUCUGAAUCAGAAAUGGAGCAAGUCCCUAUGAUAUUCUAGAAGGAAUGGGACAAUCAGAGUGUCAGGGAGAGUGGCCCAUGUCUUUGACCUAAGGAAAGGGUACACUAGCAUCUCUUUAAAUUCCCUAUUUGUAGAGUAUGUAGGUGUAAGGAAAUUCACACCAGCUGGUAUUUAGAAAUUACCUGCACCCGACAUCCACCCCUACCUGCAAAGAGAUUAAGGAACCCUUAUGGUCCCCUCUGCUCUGACCUCCAGAAAAGGAAAGAGCAAAGUCAGUUCACUGUCAAGAGUAAAGACUCCCAAAAGACCUUUUGAAGCCCUGUCUACUACUUCCUGUCAAAUCAGUUUGGAUACUACUAUUUAUAUGCCUACUUGAUAGGAUUCAAGCCUAUUCAUCACAGUGGCUGAAGCAGUAUCUUAUUGUAAAUUGUGGAAGUGAGGAAAUCAGCUUUGAAUCAAGAGUGUCUGACUACAUUCAAAAAAGAAGGCCAUUCCAUUGAUCCAGUCUGCAUGACCGGAUUCUUUCAGAGGUGAGCUGUCUUCCAAUUCUCCUCAGUAGUGCCUCAACCCUGAGAGUCUGGAGGCUGCUGAUGGGUUUCCUCAGGGAAGGGAACCAAGUCAAUGCUAUUUUGAAGCUUUUGAAUUCUGAAUCUUCCACAGAGUCAUUAAAAAGACAAUCUUUUAUAAAAGCUAAAAAUUUUGGAAGAUGAUAACCUAUCUACCAAGGUAAAGAUAAAACUCAGAAAGUGGUUUUCAAGCCUGAGGUGAAGAGAACAGUCUUUGAGUGGACCUACAGCAUCUCUGAGGAUAAGGCAUUAAUGGCAUCUGUGCAACAGGCAUCCACAUCACUGGAGAGGACUACUGACAUGGCAUCACCCUGGACUCCAGACAGGGGGUCAAAACCUUUCAUGCAAGAUCUCAAUGCAAAUAAUUGUUUUCUGGAAAUACAAAACAUGAACCUCCUUCAGAAAUCCCUUCCUUUCCUCUGGAUUUUCCUGUCAUUUCCUUUGUGGAAAAGGAGGCAUCUUGGUCUUCUCAAAAGAAGAGUCCAGAUACUUGGGUUCAAGUCUCAGCGUUGUCACUUAUUAGCGAUAUGAUCGUGAGCAAGUUUUCCAUAUCUAAACCUGAAGUGAUCUUCCACUUAGAACAAGGCAAAGAGCUGCGGAUUCUUAAUCUGCCAAGAAUUAAAGAACAAGAGUUGCCAAAAAAUUCUUCAGACUGGGAGAGUCAACCUGAGCAUCGCAAGUCAUCUCUAAAGUUAAACAUUUCUGAAGAAAUAGAAUCACCAGGGAUAGUAAUGGUUCCUUUAGACCUUGCAAUUGGUGGAGUCUGUGUACCUGAAUGCACAUUGGAUAGAAAGAAAGAAAACUCUAAAGGCAAGACAUGGGAAACAUCCCUUUCUCAUGAAAGAGAUUCCAGUCAAGUGUUAAUCACCUACCAACAAAACCCUACUAAUGAUAGAGGCCAUGAAUGUCACACAUGUGGGAAAUCCUUUUUUGACUGCUCAUGUCUUACUGAACACAGUAGGGAGUUUCUUUGAAUGUAAGGAAUGUGGGAAACUGUUUACUUGGAAAUGUAAUCUUUACGACACCAGCUAGCACAUACUGGAGAGAAACCUUAUGUAUGUAAAGAUUGUGGGAAAGCCUUCUUGAACCAUUCAUAUCUUACUAUACAUAGGCGAAUUCAUACUGGAGAAAAGCCAUAUAAAUGUGAAUGUGGAAAAGCUUUCUCUAAACAUUCGUCUCUUACUGAACAUGAGAGAAUUCAUACUGGAGAGAAAGCCUUAUGAAUGUGAUGAACAUGGGCAAACUUUUGGACAUAGAAGUGGCCUUAUGAGACAUCAGCUGAUUCACACAGGAGAAAGUCCCUAUAAAUGUAGUGAAUGUGGGAAACCGUUCUUAAAUCCCUCAUCCCUUGGUGUUCAUAAGAGAACUCAUACUGGAGAGAGGCCCUAUGAAUGUGAUAAAUGUGAGAAAGCUUUUGCUAGAUAUUCAUCUCUUUCUCUACAUCAGAGAAUUCAUACUGAAGAGAAGCCCUAUGAAUGUGAUAAAUGUGGGAAAGCCUUCUCUAAACAUUUGUCCCUCACUGAACAUGAGAGAAUUCAUACUGGAGAAAAACUUUAUAAAUGCAGUGAAUGUGGGAAAGCUUUCCAACAUAGAACUGGCAUUAUGAGGCAUAGGAUGACUCACACAGUAGAAAAUCUGUAAAAACAUAAUAAAUGUGGAAAAUACUUCCUUAAUUCUUCAUCCCUUACCAUUCAUGAAAAUUUGUACUGGAAAAAAAGCUCUGUGAAUGUGGGAAAAUAUCUAGACAUUCAUCUGUUUCUCUAUAUCAAAGGACCUCAGCUAGAGAGAAAUUUUAUCUAUAAAGUAUGUGGGGGAAAACUUUUUGUAGCAGCAUCAAAGAUGGUAUGCCAGAGAAAAAUCCUGAGAAUAUAAUGAUCUUGGGCAAAACUUCAAUCAGACUUGUCAGUAUGUUAAAUCAAAAGAAUCAGAGUAUGGACAAUAAACCCCACAAAGGUUAAAAAUUGA